rnacentral:rRNA from 1 species
AACGUAGGUCACAAGCGUUGUCCGGAAUUACUGGGUGUAAAGGGAGCGCAGGCGGACUGACAAGUCUGAUGUGAAAGGCGGGGGCUCAACCCCUGGACUGCAUUGGAAACUGUUAGUCUUGAGUGCCGGAGAGGUAAGCGGAAUUCCUAGUGUAGCGGUGAAAUGCGUAGAUAUUAGGAGGAACACCAGUGGCGAAGGCGGCUUACUGGACGGUAACUGACGUUGAGGCUCGAAAGCGUGGGGAGCAAACAGG